rnacentral:rRNA from 1 species
AAUUAGAUCGGUAGGGGAGUGUCGUUAAAGCGCUGAAGCUGAGCUGUAAGGCUUGGUGGAGUUUUAACAAGUAAGAAUGUUGGCAUGAGUAGCAAAAAUGCCGGUGAGAAUCCGGCAGGCCGUAAGUCUAAGGAUUCCUACGCAACGUUGAUCGGCGUAGGGUUAGUCGGGCCUAAGGCGUAUCCGAAAGGAAAAGUCGAUGGACAGCUGGUAAAUAUUCCAGCACCUUCAAAUUAUUGUUUGAUUCAAAGGGGUGACGCAGAAAGAUAAACAGAGCAUACGUAUUGGACAUCGUGUGUUUCUGCCUGUAAGAGAUAUAGAGAGGGUUAAAAUACUUUCUAUGCUUGAUCUGAGGGGUGGGAGAACUAUGAAGUUAGCUUCGUAGAAUUCUGUUGACUCUAGACUGCCAAGAAAAGCCUCGUUGAUUAGAUAUUUUGAAGACCGUACCGCAAACCAACACAGGUAGACAGGGAUAAAAGUCCCAAGGCCUUCGAGAGAACCAUCGUUAAGGAACUCGGCAAAUUGACCCCGUAACUUAGGGAGAAGGGGGACCUUUUAUGUAUAUGAGCUUGCCUCAGAAAGCGUAAAAGGUAGCAUAAAAUAGGUUGAAGCGACUGUUUAUCAAAAACACAGGUCCAUGCCAAAGCGAAAGCUGAUGUAUAUGGGCUGACGCCUGCCCAGUGCCGGUAGGUUAAGGAAGGUGGUGCAAGCUACUGACUGAAGCCCCGGUGAACGGCGGCCGUAACUAUAACGGUCCUAAGGUAGCGAAGUCCCUUGUCGGGUAAGUUCCGACCCGCACGAAUGGCGUAACGACUUCAACACUGUCUCAACGAUGGACUCGGUGAAAUUGCAGGACCGGUAAAGAUGCCGGUUACGCGCAGCAGGACAAAAAGACCCCGUGGAGCUUUACUGCAACUUGGCAUUGGUUCGAGUUUUAAAAUGUGUAGGAUAGGCGGGAGACUAUGAACUUCAGGCGUUAGCCUGGGGGGAGUCGCCCUUGAAAUACCGCCCUUUUUAUGAUUUGAACCUAACCUUUUGGAACAGUGUCUGGUGGGCAGUUUGACUGGGGCGGUCGCCUCCCAAAGAGUAACGGAGGCGUACAAAGGUCACCUCAAGCUGGAUGGAAAUCAGCUUUUGAGUGCAUUGGCAUAAGGUGGCUUGACUGCGAGACUUACAAGUCGAGCAGGGACGAAAGUCGGUCAAAGUGAUCCCACGAUUCCGAGUGGAAGGGUCGUGGCUUAACGGAU